UCGAUGCAAUCCGGCAGAGGGCAUUGGUCCAAAGCUACAAAGGUUGUCAGAGGCCCCCCUUAAACCACAACAGAGGUUGUUCGCCCUGCGGACUGUCCUGAUCCCACAACUCUAUCACAAGUUAUCCCUUGGGAGUGUGACGAUAGGCGUCUUAAGAAAGACUGACAAACUAAUACGUUUCUAUGUGCGAAGAUGGCUAAAUCUUCCGUCGGAUGUGCCGGUAGCAUUCGUUCAUGCCCCCCAAGGUGUGGGGGACUCGGAAUUCCAUCAAUGAGAUGGGUAGCACCAAUGUUAAGACUUAGACGAUUGAGCAACAUAAAAUGGCCUCACCUCGUACAAUCCGAGGAAGCCAGCUCCUUCCUCGAAGCGGAAAAACAAAGGGCCCGAGGUAGAUUGAUAGCUGAACAAAAUGAAUUGUUAUCGCGUCCGGCAAUAGAAAAGUAUUGGGCGAACAGAUUGUACCUCUCCGUUGACGGCAGCGGACUCCGUGAAGCGGGCCACUACGGUCCCCAACACGGGUGGGUUAGUCAACCCACGCGUUUACUAACAGGAAAGGAAUAUAUAGACGGUAUUCGUCUGCGGAUAAAUGCCCUACCCACAAAGUCUCGUACUACGAGGGGAAGGCACGAAUUGGAACGGCAGUUUCGUGCGUGAUGUGACGCUCCCGACACAACAAUCCACAUUAUGCAAAAAUGCUAUCGUUCGCAUGGGAGGCGCCUAGCUAGACACAAUUGCGUAGUAAAUCGAAUCAAGCGGGGAAUUGAGGAGAGAGGCUGCGUGGUCAUUGCUGAACUAAGUAAUAAACCAGACCUGGUGGUACUCCGACCUAAUCACAUGGAUGUGAUUGACAUACUGGUUGUUACAGACGGACACUCUAUGGAUGAUGCGCAUCUGCGCAAAAUAAAUAGAUACAACAGACCGGACAUACGAAUGGAAUUGCGAAGCCGAUUCGGAGCCGCAGGUGACAUGGAGUUUCACUCUGCAACUCUAAACUGGAGGGGGAUCUGGAGUGGUCAAUCCGUAAAACGGUUGAUUGCGAAGGGUCUCCUCAGCAAAUAUGAUAGUCAUAUCAUUAGCGUCCAGGUUAUGAGAGGCAGUCUUGGCUGUUUUAGACAGUUCAUGUACCUUAGCGGGUUUUCCCGUGAUUGGACUUAGCCAAAAACAUUUGGUUCACAUACAUCUGCCUGCUGCCUUGGCACAAUAUCAAAAAGGCAUAAACAUCGCACAUAUUGGUUAUUUACGGCUAUGAGGAUGGUUUUAGUACGUAGGCGUUACGGAACCUCGGUUCAGAUAGAGCAAUGAAUCGUGCAUGCUAGGUAAACUGACCACACAAAAAAUGGCAGCCCUAGUAUCUUUCGAAGAUUUCCAUACCUCUGCGAUCAAAAAAAAAAAAAUAGCCAAAUGCCUCGUCAUCUAAUUAGUGACGCGCAUGAAUGGAUUAACGAGAUUCCUACUGUCCCUAUCUAAUUCGCCGUGUGGUUAGCGGGCGAGAAUACAACCACAGUCCGCUGUUGCUUGUCGUAGGAGGCGACUAAUACGGCUAUAGGUCGCUCCGCCCGUGCUUGUCGGACCCAAGGAAUGUGAGGCCGACCGAGCCUCUAAUUUCGGUACCACGGGUUGAGCCCGGCAAGAAGGCACUCGAAUUUCCACCAGGGUGACCACCCUAUGUACAUAGCUAUAGCUUCUAGACCGGUACGUUUGUGUGGCGUAUCCAGACUAAUGCAUCUUUGGAUGUCGUGGUUGUAAUCCCUUCAAUGUGGAACACGCCACGUAAAACAAGUUCGGAGGGAUCCGAAAUCACACACUGUCCCUAUCUACUAUCUAGCGAAACCACAGCCAAGGGAACGGGCUUGGAAUAAUUAGCGGGGAAAUAAGACUCUUUUGAGCUUGACUCUAAUCUGGCAGUGUAAGGAGACAUAAGAGGUGUAGAAUAAGUGGGAGAUAUUAGACCUCGGUUUGGUAUCGUCAAUGAAAUACCACUACUCUUAUUGUUUCCUUACUUACUUGAUUAAAUGGAACGUGUAUCAUUUCCUAGCCAUUAUACGGGUAUAUUUAUUAUAUCCUAUGGUAUUGGGUUUUGAUGCAAGCUUCUUGAUCAAAGUAUCACGAGUUUGUUAUAUAAUCGCAAACAAAUUCUUUAAUAAAACGAUGCAUUUAUGUAUCUUUGAUUUGAAAAUUUGGUAUAACUCCAAUUACUCAGGUAUGAUCCAAUUCAAGGACAUUGUCAGGUAGGGAGUUUUACUGGGGCGGAGGUGUCCCAAGGCCAGCUCAGUGCGGACAGAAACCACACAUAGAGCAAAAGGAUAAAUGCUGACUUGAUCUCGGUGUUCAGUUCACACAGGGAUAGCAAAAGCUCGGCCUAUCGAUCCUUUUGGUUUAAAAAAAGUUACCAUAGGGAUAACUGGCUUGUGGCGGCCAAGCGUUCAUAGCGAAGUCGCUCUGAUGUCGGCUCUUCCUAUCAUUGUGAAGCAAAAUUCACCAAGCGUUGGAUUGUUCACCCAUGCAAGGGAACGUGAGCUGGGCUUAGACCGUCGUGAGACAGGUUAGUUUUAACCUACUAAUGACAAAACGUUGUUGCGACAGCAUUCCUGCGUAGUACGAGAGGAACCGCAGGUACGGACCAAUGGCACAAUACUUAUUCGAGCGAACAGUGGUAUGACGCUACGUCUGUUGGAUUAUGCCUGAACGCCUCUAAGGUCGUAUCCGUGCUGGUCUGCACUGAUCAAGAACGGGCAAUUUGCAUUGU
rnacentral:rRNA from 1 species